CCUACGGGGGGCUGCAGUGAGGAAUAUUCCACAAUGGGGGCAACCCUGAUGGAGCAACGCCGCGUGAAGGAUGAAGGUCUUCGGAUUGUAAACUUCUUUUAUAAGUGAAGAAUAUGACUGUAACUUAUGAAUAAGCACCGGCUAACUACGUGCCAGCAGCCGCGGUCAUACGUAGGGUGCAAGCAUUAUCCGGAGUGACUGGGCGUAAAGAGUUGCGUAGGCGGUUUGUUAAGUAGAUAGUGAAACCUGGUGGCUCAACCAUACAGACUAUUAUCUAAACUGGCAAACUCGAGAAUGGUAGAGGUAAUUGGAAUUUCUAGUGUAGGAGUGGAAUCCGUAGAUAUUAGAAGGAACACCAAUGGCGUAGGCAGAUUACUGGACCAUUUCUGACGCUAAGGCACGAAAGCGUGGGGAGCGAACAGGCUUAGAUACCCCAGUAGUC
rnacentral:rRNA from 1 species